rnacentral:lncRNA from 1 species
GCUAGCAGCGCGGGCAGCGGCUUUAUGUUGAUGGCAAAUUGUCACUUUGGCGGAAUUCAGGAACGCUACUUAUGUCAUUAGGCGGCAAUCUAUAAUUAACGCACUCAAGGCUGUGUGAAGGGUAGGAUUCUUCCAGGGACAGCUAGAGCGAUUCCACCUGCAUCUUCUGGGAGCGGGGCCAUCAACUCGGAAUAGGAGCAUGUGGCUCCUGGAGCUCUCUUCACCCAAGAACAGCCACGUGGAGACAGGAACACAGUGAUUCAACAACACGGAAAUCAAGCCACACGUCUGUCUCUGAGCCAUUUGUGUCUCUGCUGGCAUCUCUCAAA